AAAUGAUUUGAACUAUGCUAUACUGCUUUAACUUGUCGUUGGGAAAGUCCGGUGCGAUUCCGGUACUGUGCCGCAACUGUAAUCAAGGAAAAAGUAAAAAGAGAAUUAUUUUCCCUUGCCUUUUAACUUUUUACCUUGUUAGUCAGAAUGCCAUUUGCAAGUUUUUCAAAGGU
rnacentral:ncRNA from 2 species